GACGAACGCUGGCGGCGUGCUUAAUACAUGCAAGUCAACGAUUUUUAAGAUAGCAAUAUUUUAAAAUAGUGGCGCACGGUGAGUAACACGUAGAUAAUCUGCCUUUAGGUCUGACAUAACUCGUCGAAAGACGGGCUAAUAUCAGAUAAAACAAUAACUUGGCAUCAAGUAAUUGUCAAAAGCUUCGGCGCCCAAAAGAUGAGUCUGCGGACCAUUAGGUAGUUGGUGGAUUAACAGCCCACCAAGCCAACGAUGGAUAGCUGGUCUGAGAGGAUGAUCAGCCACACUGGAACUGAGACACGGUCCAGACUCCUACGGGAGGCAGCAGUAAGGAAUAUUGCUCAAUGGGCGCAAGCCUGAUGCAGCAACGCCGCGUGAGGGAUGACGGCC
rnacentral:rRNA from 1 species